AUCUCGCAGCAUGUUUGGUAAGCAUAGUGCCCCUCCUAACUAGUAGGGACUAGAUCCCUACGCCCCCAUCAUGCACGAGCUGACAGACCACCUCCUAGGAGAGCAGAUGAAACCCCUGACUGCCCUGCCUCAAACCCUAUAAAAAAUUCAAAAACUGCUGCUCCAAGCCUCUGAGACAAGCACAUGGCACAACAAUAUUCGCUAGAAGAU
rnacentral:lncRNA from 1 species